rnacentral:rRNA from 1 species
GGCCUACCAUGGUUUCAACGGGUAACGGGGAAUAAGGGUUCGAUUCCGGAGAGGGAGCCUGAGAAACGGCUACCACAUCCAAGGAAGGCAGCAGGCGCGCAAAUUACCCAAUCCCGACACGGGGAGGUAGUGACAAUAAAUAACAAUAUAGGGCUCUUUUGGGUCUUAUAAUUGGAAUGAGUACAAUUUAAAUCCCUUAACGAGGAACAAUUGGAGGGCAAGUCUGGCGCCAGCAGCCGCGGUAAUUCCAGCUCCAAUAGCGUAUAUUAAAGUUGUUGCAGUUAAAAAGCUCGUAGUUGAAUUUUGGAUUCUUCCAAUUGGUCCAUCUUUUAGAUGAGUACUGGUUGUGUGGGGUCUAUCCGCCUGGUGAUACGUAAUGUCCUUUAUUGGAUGUUGCGGGUAGUCAGGACCUUUACCUUGAAAAAAUUAGAGUGUUUAAAGCAGGCUUAUGCCGGAAUACAUUAGCAUGGAAUAAUAGAAUAGGACGAAGUUGUUUUAUUUUGUUGGUUUCUAGGACAACCGUAAUGAUUAAUAGGGAUAGUUGGGGGCAUUAGUAUUCAAUUGUCAGAGGUGAAAUUCUUGGAUUUAUUGAAGACUAACUACUGCGAAAGCAUUUGCCAAGGAUGUUUUCAUUAAUCAAGAACGAAAGUUAGGGGAUCGAAGACGAUCAGAUACCGUCGUAGUCUUAACCAUAAACUAUGCCGACUAGGGAUCGGGCGAUGUUGUUUCCAUGACUCGCUCGGCACCUUAUGGGAAACCAAAGUGUUUGGGUUC